AUUGAACGCUGGCGGCAGGCCUAACACAUGCAAGUCGAACGAGUGGCGGACGGGAGAGUAAUGUCUGGGAAACUGCCUGAGGGAGGGGGAUAACUACUGGAAACGGUAUCUAACACCGCAUACUAUCAGAUGUCCCCAUGUGGGAUUGGCUAGUUGGUGGGGGAACGGCACACCAAGGCGACGAUCCAUAGCUGGUCUGAGAGGAGGACCAGCCACACUGGAACUGAGACACGGUCCAGACUCCUACGGGAGGCAGCAGUGGGGAAUAUUGCACAAUGGGCGCAAGCCUGAUGCAGCCAUGCCGCGUGAGUGAAGAAGGUUUUCGGAUCGUAAAACUCUGUUGUUAGGGAGGCGGUAUCUAACCAGAAAGCCCCGGCUAACUCCGUGCCAGCAGCCGCGGUAAUUC
rnacentral:rRNA from 1 species